rnacentral:rRNA from 1 species
AGAUUGAACGCUGGCGGCAUGCUUUACACAUGCAAGUCGAACGGUAACAGGCCGCAAGGUGCUGACGAGUGGCGAACGGGUGAGUAAUGCAUCGGAACGUGCCCAGUCGUGGGGGAUAACGCAGCGAAAGCUGUGCUAAUACCGCAUACGAUCUAUGGAUGAAAGCGGGGGACCGAAAGGCCUCGCGCGAUUGGAGCGGCCGAUGUCAGAUUAGCUAGUUGGUGGGGUAAAGGCCCACCAAGGCGACGAUCUGUAGCUGGUCUGAGAGGACGACCAGCCACACUGGAACUGAGACACGGUCCAGACUCCUACGGGAGGCAGCAGUGGGGAAUUUUGGACAAUGGGCGCAAGCCUGAUCCAGCAAUGCCGCGUGCAGGAGAAGGCUUCGGUGUAAGCCUUUGUGGAAGAAAGCAUUCGUUAAUACCGGUGUUCUGACGUACCCAAGAAUAAGCACCGGCUAACUCGUGCAAGCAGCCGUACG